GACCAUUACAGUGCCUGGCAGACAUAUGGCC
rnacentral:piRNA from 1 species